rnacentral:siRNA from 1 species
UAGCUUGCUAUCUGGGCUUUC